CCAGUUCGGNMGGUAGCAUGAUGUGUAGCAAUACACAUUGAUGACGAGUGGCGGACGGGUGAGAAACGCGUAGGAAUCUGCCUUUUAGAGGGGGACAACUAGAGGAAACUCUAGCUAAUACCGCAUAAUGUCGAAAGACCAAAAGCUGGCCCCGGACUUGUUCCGGGGCUGGCGCUAAGAGAGGAGCCUGCGUCUGAUUAGCUAGUUGGUGGGGUAAAGGCCUACCAAGGCGAUGAUCGGUAGCUGGUCUGAGAGGAUGAUCAGCCACACUGGGACUGAGACACGGCCCAGACUCCUACGGGAGGCAGCAGUGGGGAAUAUUGGACAAUGGGGGCAACCCUGAUCCAGCAAUACCGCGUGUGUGAAGAAGGCCUUCGGGUUGUAAAGCACUUUAGGUUGGGAAGAAGGUAUGUAGUUUAAGAGAU
rnacentral:rRNA from 1 species